rnacentral:lncRNA from 1 species
UUUUUAUUAAAAUUAUUUUAUUUAAAAUAUUGUUUUGUUUUAGAUGACUUCACUAUUGCUCUGUGGUUGAAGGAUAUGUUGACUUCUAAGCCCUGGAUUGACCCAAAGGUGAUGUGUAUUCUGAGAGGUCACAAUGGAGGGGUCACAUGCCUUGCUUUCAGUCCUGAUGGGAAAGAGUUGCUGUCAGGAGGAAAAGAUCAGGUACUUGCUCCACUGCCUAUUCAUUACUGGAAGAAAUUGAAGAAAAUACACAAUUUCUGUCAUACUCAAUUUAAUCACAAUCUUUUCUAAUAGGCUUUGAUGAUAUGGAAGGUAAACGCUUCUCCUCCAGUUCUUUCCCAGUCCAUUUCCAAUUGCCAUGGAGACUGGAUUACAGGAUGUGCUUGGACAUCAUCUGCUGUGGUGAGAAAGCCAUUUACAAAGUGCUGUUUAGUUCAUGUUAUCAGCAUCUGACUCUGUGUGUCUGUAACUGAAUACAAAACCUCUCUGUCACCUCAGCUCAGCUGCUCCAGUAAGCUGCGGAUGUGGGAUAUCCAAACAGGACGUUUGUUGAGAGAGAUCCUCUCUAGUUCAUCGCUGAGCACAUUGUGCUGUUGGGUAAGACAGCUGUGCCAUGUUGCAAAGACAUACAGAAGUGUAACCUGUUAAUAUUUAUGUAGUUUCUAAUGUCUUUAGGAGGAUUAUGUAAUGGCAGGCUCCACAGAUGGACUGCUGAUGGUUUGGAAGUGGGAAUCAGGGGUAGAAAUCACCAGGAUCCAGGCCCACAAGUCACGUCUCCAUCACUGCACUGUUGUCUCAGAUCUGGAAAAGAAUUUGAAACCAGAAGACUUACUGGUAGCUUCAGCAUCAGAAGAUGGAACUGUUAAACUCUGGCAUCCACUGCAGGUACAGCAUCACAACACUCUGCAUGGACACAGUGCAGAAAUCCAGUCUUUAGUGUGCAAAAAGACCGGACCGCCGGAGUUUCUCACUGUCUCAGCUGAUCGUUCCCUCAGGUCAUGGAGCGUCACCACAGCAAUGGGUAUGACAGAAU